rnacentral:rRNA from 1 species
UACGAAGGGUGCAACCGUUGCUCGGAAUUAUUGGGCGUAAAGCGCACGUAGGCGGCAUUGCAAGUCGGAUGUGAAAUCUUAUGGCUUAACCAUAAAAGUGCAUCCGAAACUGCAGUGCUUGAGUACUUAAGAGGAUCGCGGAAUUCCCGGUGUAGAGGUGAAAUUCGUAGAUAUUCGCAAGAACACCAGUGGCGAAGGCGGCUCACUGGCCCGAUACUGACGCUGAGGCACGAAAGCGUGGGGAGCAAACAGG